CUACGGGGGGCUGCAGUGGGGAAUAUUGCACAAUGGGCGCAAGCCUGAUGCAGCCAUGCCGCGUGCAUGAAGAAGGCCUUCGGGUUGUAAAGUACUUUCAGCGGGGAGGAAGGGAGUAAAGUUAAUACCUUUGCUCAUUGACGUUACCCGCAGAAGAAGCACCGGCUAACUCCGUGCCAGCAGCCGCGGUAAUACGGAGGGUGCAAGCGUUAAUCGGAAUUACUGGGCGUAAAGCGCACGCAGGCGGUUUGUUAAGUCGAAUCUGAAAGCCCCCGGCUUAACCGGGGAGGGUGAUUUGAAACUGGCAGACUUGAGUACGGCAGAGGUUAGUGGAAUUCAAUGUGUAGCGGUGGAAUGCGUAGAUAUAUUGAGGAACACCAGUGGCGAAGGCGGCUAACUGGACCGGAACUGACGCUGAGGCACGAAAGCGUGGGGAGCAAACAGGAUUAGAUACCCGCGUAGUC
rnacentral:rRNA from 1 species